GUAUCCUGUUGUUUUGGGAUCAAUGUUUCUUAUUAAGUGAACUAAUUCAUCAACUUAAGUGAUUUCCCAUAUGCCUUAAAAGCUUUAGUGUUAGUGUUUUUGAAAAAUUGAUAAUUUUAUGGAAAUUUUGAAAGUUUUAGUGUGAUAUUGAAAUAAUGUGAACAUCUCCUGCAUACCCAUAAAGACCGAUCGACGCGCCACCUGUCACGUGCGCGAUGCGGCGUGAACUUGAACCAGAAAAGGUUGGGCGAUGGAGCGGACGCAACGUAAUUGCGUCUAGUGAGAAAAACGAAAAGUUCUACGUGAUGAUUCCCAUUUAGAUUCUCGAAGUUCCCGUCCGGGUUAGGGAAGUGGUCUACAACGCAACAAUUUCCUCUUGCAUGGAAGUUCAACACUAAGAGCAUCAACAAGUGAAUGACGUAGGUAAGAGAUGUACUGUGCAAAGGGUGAGGUAACGUAUCUUUUUAGUCCAAUAAAACUCGGCUCGGUCAGUCAUUCUCCAAGUCUUUUUUUAAACUCAA